AUUGAACGCUGGCGGCAUGCCUUACACAUGCAAGUCGAACGGCAGCGCGGGGCAACCUGGCGGCGAGUGGCGAACGGGUGAGUAAUAUAUCGGAACGUACCCUGGAGUGGGGAGUAACGUAGCGAAAGUUACGCUAAUACCGCAUACGAUCUAAGGAUGAAAGUGGGGGAGUCGCAAGACCUCAUGCUCCUGGAGCGGCCGAUAUCUGAUUAGCUAGNGGUGGGGUAAAGGCCUACCAAGGCAUCGAUCAGUAGCUGGUCUGAGAGGACGACCAGCCACACUGGAACUGAGACACGGUCCAGACUCCUACGGGAGGCAGCAGUGGGAAUUUUGGACAAUGGGCGCAAGCCUGAUCCAGCAAUGCCGCGUGAGUGAAGAA
rnacentral:rRNA from 1 species